GACGAACGCUGGCGGCGUGCUUAACACAUGCAAGUCGAACGGAAAGGCGCUGCUUUUGCGGGGUGCUCGAGUGGCGAACGGGUGAGUAACACGUGAGUAACCUGCCCUUGACUUUGGGAUAACUCCAGGAAACUGGGGCUAAUACCGGAUAGGAGCUCCUGCUGCAUGGUGGGGGUUGGAAAGUUUCGGCGGUUGGGGAUGGACUAGCAGCUUAUCAGCUUGUUGGUGGGGUAGUGGCUUACCAAGGCUUUGACGGGUAGCCGGCCUGAGAGGGUAGCCGGGCACAUGAGUACUAAGAUACGGCCCAGUAGCGUACGUUCGGCAACAGGGGAGAGCAUUGCGCAAUGAGGCGGAGUCAGUUACGACAGUGCCGGGUGCGUAAUAACGUCCUUCUAGUUGUGAACCGCUUUGUACUUAAACGAAGCGAUAGUGACGGUAAUGAAUAAAAAAGCACCGGCUAACUACGUG
rnacentral:rRNA from 1 species